CUAGAAUCAUCUACUGAACUGUAGACAAACGUGUCCAGCAUGUACCUCAGAGCUGAAGAAGUUGUGUUUAGUGCCAGAUUCAUGUAUGCCCCGAUGGAAACAGCUUAAGGAAGAAAAUCAGGUAGAUGAUAAAUCUGCAUCAGAGCAUUUGUGGUAACUAUGGAGACCUUGAUUCCUCCUUUGUGAUGGCGCCAACUUCUGUGACUUCAGCAAGGGGGAACACAAACUUUUGAAAUGAAACUGGAGAAGAUUAAGGUUCCAUUGACCACCAUCUCUAUCAUUCAGAAGCAAAGCCACAUCACCAGAGACAAAGCUGGACACCUACCUACACGAUGGCUAGGGUUCCCACCAGGCUCCCACCAGGUUCUUCAUCAUUUUAUCAAACAGCAGAAGAACCUCACCAAAGACCAGUCCAGUGAAGUUGCCUAUCUUAGACUGUCAACUUCUAGUACUGUGAGAAAGUGCAUUCAUUCUUCUGGGGAAAGAAACGAAGACCCAGUGAUGUAGAAGCCGCCAGGACCACAAGUGCUACUGUUCUUUCUCAUGUGCUGUUUUCUUUCUGUGAACUCUGAGACGCCACUAAUGAGAAUAGCCAAUUACUACAUCUGUUGACCAAGAGCAAGCUCCGCUGCCCAUUAACACAGCCUUCUCUGGCCAGUCACUCUAAUGAGAAACUGGAUAAUUGCAGGACUCUUGGUCAAUAGUUGAGAAUUUUAGUUUAUGUUGAAUUUAGAGCCAGAAUUUGUUUUGAUGUUUCAAGCCUAAUUAGAUUUAUUUUAUAUAUAAAGAAAUGCCGACUUUUUUUUCUUUUCGUGACCCCAAAUUCUAGAUAUAUUUUGUACAUCAGAGAAUAAGAGAUUGAG
rnacentral:lncRNA from 1 species